AAUAGAUACCCAGGUAGUCCACCCCGUAAACGUUGGGAACUAGUUGUGGGGUCCAUUCCACGGAUUCCGUGACGCAGCUAACGCAUUAAGUUCCCCGCCUGGGGAGUACGGCCGCAAGGCUAAAACUCAAAGGAAUUGACGGGGACCCGCACAAGCGGCGGAGCACGCGGAUUAAUUCGAUGCAACGCGAAGAACCUUACCAAGGCUUGACAUAUACGAGAACGCUGCAGAGAUGCAGAACUCUUUGGACACUCGUAUACAGGUGGUGCAUGGUUGUCGUCAGCUCGUGUCGUGAGAUGUUGGGUUAAGUCCCGCAACGAGCGCAACCCUCGUUCUAUGUUGCCAGCACGUUAUGGUGGGAACUCAUGGGAUACUGCCGGGGUCAACUCGGAGGAAGGUGGGGAUGACGUCAAAUCAUCAUGCCCCUUAUGUCUUGGGCUUCACGCAUGCUACAAUGGCCGGUACAAAGGGCUGCGAUGCCGUAAGGCGGAGCGAAUCCCAAAAAGCCGGUCCCAGUCGUCGGUAUUGGACGGUUCGUCGACUAACCG
rnacentral:rRNA from 1 species